AGUGAACGCUGGCGGUAGGCCUAACACAUGCAAGUCGAACGGCAGCACAGUAAGAGCUUGCUCUUACGGGUGGCGAGUGGCGGGCGGGUGAGGCAUACAUCGGAAUCUACCUUUUCGUGGGGGAUAACGUAGGGACACUUACGCUAAUACCGCAUACGACCUACGGGUGAAAGCAGUGGAUCUUCGGACCUUGCGCGAUUGAAUGAGACGAUGUCGGAUUAGCUAGUUGGCGGGGUAAAGGCCCACCAAGGCGACGAUCCGUAGCUGGUCUGAGAGGAUGAUCAGCCACACUGGAACUGAGACACGGUCCAGACUCCUACGGGAGGCAGCAGUGGGGAAUAUUGGACAAUGGGCGCAAGCCUGAUCCAGCCAUACCGCGUGAGUGAAGAAGGCCUUCGGGUUGUAAAGCCCUUUUGUUGGGAAAGAAGAGCAGCAGGUUAAUACCCCGCUGUUCUGACGGUACCCAAAGAAUAAGCACCGGCUAACUUCGUG
rnacentral:rRNA from 1 species